rnacentral:rRNA from 1 species
UAUCUCUGUAGAGUCUGCAUAUCAAUAAGCGGAGGAAAAGAAACUAACAAGGAUUCCCUUAGUAACGGCGAGUGAAGCGGGAAGAGCUCAAAUUUGAAAUCUUCAAGGUUCUACCUUGACGAAUUGUAGUUUAAAGAAGUGUUUUCUGUUGGAGUUUUGGUAAAAGUUCUUUGGAAUAGGACAUCAUAGAGGGUGAGAAUCCCGUAUUUGACCGUUAUUUUCAGCUGUGUGAUACACUUUCAAAGAGUCGGAUUGUUUGGGAAUGCAGUCCAAAAUGGGUGGUAAAUUUCAUCUAAAGCUAAAUAUUGGCGAGAGACCGAUAGCGAACAAGUACCGUGAGGGAAAGAUGAAAAGAACUUUGAAAAGAGAGUUAAACAGUACGUGAAAUUGUCAAAAGGGAAGCGUUUGACACCAGUGUUGUUUUCUCGAAAAUCAAUUAAAAAUGGCCUGAUUUUGUGUUGUAUUGACUUUAUCAAGCUUUCUGCACUUUUUUCAUUGUCUUUUUUAAUGCACUUUUCGUUUAACAAGUCAACAUCAAUUUCUUUUGUUGUAAAAGAGUCAUUGGAAGGUGGCUUUCACUUCGGUGAAAGUGUUUAUAGCCUUUGGCUUCUGCAAUCGGAGAGAUUGAGGUCUGCAGCGUAGAUCCUUCGGGGUUAGAUACGUAGAUGCUAAGUUAUAGUUUUUCAUAGACAACUUGUUGACUAUGAUUAAUCAUGUAGCUUACUCGUUUGCGCUAUUUUACCUACGCUUAGGAUGUUGAACGCGCACAGAGUCUC